rnacentral:rRNA from 1 species
AUGAACGCUGGCGGCGUGCCUAAUACAUGCCAGUCGCGCGAACAGACGAGGAGCUUGCUCCUCUGACGUUAGCGGCGGACGGGUGAGUAACACGUGGAUAACCUACCUAUAAGACUGGGAUAACUUCGGGAAACCGGAGCUAAUACCGGAUAAUAUAUUGAACCGCAUGGUUCAAUAGUGAAAGACGGUUUUGCUGUCACUUAUAGAUGGAUCCGCGCCGCAUUAGCUAGUUGGUAAGGUAACGGCUUACCAAGGCGACGAUGCGUAGCCGACCUGAGAGGGUGAUCGGCCACACUGGAACUGAGACACGGUCCAGACUCCUACGGGAGGCAGCAAUAGGGAAUCUUCCGCAAUGGGCGAAAGCCUGACGGAGCAACGCCGCGUGAGUGAUGAAGGUCUUCGGAUCGUAAAACUCUGUUAUUAGGGAAGAACAAAUGUGUAAGUAACUAUGCACGUCUUGACGGUACCUAAUCAGAAAGCCACGGCUAACUACGUG